rnacentral:rRNA from 1 species
AGAUUGAACGCUGGCGGCAGGCCUAACACAUGCAAGUCGAGCGGCAGCACGGGUACUUGUACCUGGUGGCGAGCGGCGGACGGGUGAGUAAUGCCUAGGAAUCUGCCUGGUAGUGGGGGAUAACGCUCGGAAACGGACGCUAAUACCGCAUACGUCCUACGGGAGAAAGCAGGGGACCUUCGGGCCUUGCGCUAUCAGAUGAGCCUAGGUCGAUUAGCUAGUUGGUGGGUAACGGCUCACCAAGGCGACGAUCCGUAACUGGUCUGAGAGGAUGAUCAGUCACACUGGAACUGAGACACGGUCCAGACUCCUACGGGAGGCAGCAGUGGGGAAUAGUUGGACAAGUGGGACGAAAGCCUGAUCCAGCCAUGCCGCGUGUGUAGAAGAAGGUCUUACGGAUUGAAAGCUACGUUUAAGUGGGAGAAGGCAAGUUAAAUUAAUACUUUGCUUGUUUAGACGUUACCGACAGAAUAGCACGGUCUAACUC